rnacentral:tRNA from 1 species
GGAGAGGUAUCGAAGCGGUCAUAACGAGGCGGUCUUGAAAACCGUUUGGCUUCACGGCCACAUGGGUUCGAAUCCCAUCCUCUCCGCUA